rnacentral:rRNA from 1 species
CGAGACCUCAGGUCAGACGGGGCUACCCGCUGAGUUUAAGCAUAUCAAUAAGCGGAGGGAAAGAAACUAACAAGGAUUUUCCCCUUUAU